CCACAUGCCGCGUGUGGGAUGAAGCCCUCGGGUUGUAACCACUUUUGGCAGGAAAGAAUCGCCUGUGCUAAUACCAUGGGCGGAUGACGGUACCUGCAGAAUAAGCACCGGCUAACUACGUGCCAGCAGCCGCGGUAAUACGUAGGGUGCGAGCGUUAAUCGGAAUUACUGGGCGUAAAGCGUGCGCAGGCGGCUUUGCAAGACAGAUGUGAAAUCCCCGGGCUCAACCUGGGAACUGCAUUUGUGACUGCAAGGCUAGAGUACGGCAGAGGGGGAUGGAAUUCCGCGUGUAGCAGUGAAAUGCGUAGAUAUGCGGAGGAACACCGAUGGCGAAGGCAAUCCCCUGGGCCUGCACUGACGCUCAUGCACGAAAGCGUGGGGAGCAAACAGGAUUAGAUACCCUGGUAGUCCACGCCCUAAACGAUGUCAACUGGUUGUAGGACGGCUUGCUGUUCAGUAACGAAGCUAACGCGUGAAGUUGACCGGCUGGGGAGUACGGCCGCAAGGUUGAAACUCA
rnacentral:rRNA from 1 species